CACAGAUAACAUUGAUUUACAGACUACAAUUCUUUCAAGAUUUGAUCUUCAUAGUCAAAGACAUUAGGAUGUUCAGCCAAGACAAGACUUAGCUAGUCAUAUUAUCAGAGUACAUGCAUCUGCUAAUGCAAACAAUGAUUCUCGAGAUACCAAAGAAGAUAAACUGGCUUAAAAGUACUGUCGAACCACAAGUCAGCCCAGGUUAUCAGAUUCCGCAGCCACAUUGUUACAGGAGAGUCAUGUUAGAAUUAGACAGGAUAUGAGGCGACAGGCGAAUGAAACCGGGGAAUCAACUGCUGUAUCGAUCACUGUGAGACAGCUGGAAGCUAUAGUGAGGUUGAGCGAGUCACUAGCAAAGAUGAGACUAUCUCAAAUGUUGCGAAUGUUAACGAUGUUCAGGAAGCUAUUAGGAUUUUCAACAAUUCAACUAGACCUGGCAAACGGG